ACCCAUGUUAGGUGGCCAGGCAGGUGCCUGACACUGCUGUCCUCUGGGGAGGUGUAAAAUUUCCAUUAGAAAAAUGCAAGGAGGCUGGCCCUGGUGGCACAAACCUUAAAUCCCAGCACUCAGGAUGGAGAGACCGGCAGAUCUCGGAGUUUCAGGCUAGUUAGAACUACGCAGUAAGACCCCGUCUCAAAAACAAACAAACGAGCAAGAAGACGAAAAAGGAGGAGGAAGAGAACUAAGUGCCAAGAACUGGAAGAGGAAGUAUGUUGCUGCGCUGCAGAGUUGCCGUGGCAAUGGGUCAGCAGCAGAAAGAAACAGGUUCUGCCCUCAACAGACCAUCUGUUAGGAAGGGACCUUAAAUCUCCAAGAAAGGAAGUCUCUAGAGAUAGGACAUUCCAUUCUGUUGGAGUUUAAAUUUGGUCCCAGAGCAACAAGACCUGCUUUGGAGCCUCCAAACCUCAGGACUCCACAGUUCUCAAAAAGACAGCCGAACGGCUUCCUGGAAUCCCGUGUGAGCUGUCAGCUCUGCAGCAGUGUAAAGAUGCUGGAGCAUCCUCCAACCGCAAGCCAAGGACCACAAAGCCUUGCGUAUCACCUUGGCUUUCUUACAGUGAGUGGGUGAUUGAAAUGACAGACUCUCAGCCCAUGUGCUUAACUGCUUGAGGACACCCCUUCUGCCUGCCGGGUCCUUCAGAAGACUCCCCGGAGUCCCCUCUCUAUUCGGCUGCUUGCUGGUGAAAAGGUCAGCUUAGGAACUUUGGGAAGGUCAUGGAACACUUGCCUCUACAGAAGGGAGAGGCCAAUUAACAUUUCUCAGACCACAGGGCGGGAACUGACCUGCGGGUGGGGACACAUUCCUCAGGACGGACUGUUGUCCACCUUCAGACAAGGGAAGUCCUUGUCACCUCAUUCCCUAAAGACCACUCAGUUUAAAGGGUGCACUGUUCCGCCAAUCAUCUUGUGCCUAGUUGCUGAUGCUCUAUUCUGCCCCUGGAAGCCAUAUAAAAACUUGCCAACUGGGUGCUGGGGUUGCCACCUCUUGUUCGGGUCUGGGUUGACCCCAGUGCACUGGAACAAUAAAUUCCUCUUGCUUUUUGCACCUA
rnacentral:lncRNA from 1 species